AUUGAACGCUGGCGGAAUGCUUUACACAUGCAAGUCGAACGGUAGAGGGGGCAACCCCUCGAGAGUGGCGAACGGGUGAGUAAUAUAUCGGAACGUGCCCAGUCGUGGGGGAUAACGUAGCGAAAGUUACGCUAAUACCGCAUACGAUCUAAGGAUGAAAGCGGGGGACCGUAAGGCCUCGCGCGAUCGGAGCGGCCGAUGUCAGAUUAGCUAGUUGGUAGGGUAAAGGCCUACCAAGGCGACGAUCUGUAGCGGGUCUGAGAGGAUGAUCCGCCACACUGGGACUGAGACACGGCCCAGACUCCUACGGGAGGCAGCAGUGGGGAAUUUUGGACAAUGGGCGAAAGCCUGAUCCAGCCAUGCCGCGUGAGUGAAGGAGGCCUCGGUUGUAAGCUCUUUCGCUGGAGAAAUCGCACAGGCUAAUACUCUGUGUGGAUGA
rnacentral:rRNA from 1 species